AGUAAUAAGCUUUACACUUCAGUGAAAAUUUGACCUACUCAUAAUUUCUCAUUUCAAUUUCGAAACAAGUACAUUUUUUUAAAUCUCCGAAUCUUUCCAAGGAACUAUUUAUAUUGGUUCUCUAUUUGAGCCAAACAGCCAUUUCUCUAUUUUUGCCCCCCAACAAAACAAGUAAAACUGAAUGCAAAGAUGUCACACACUCAAAGUUUUCAUAGAAUAUAUAGAAAGAAACAUGCACUUUUAGCUAGGAUAUAAAUAUAAUACACUUAGUAAAAAGAAACGCUGACAACUCUAGCAAUAUGUUAUAUAUUAUGUGGUUACAGAAAUCAAAAUUGUAUAUUACAAGAGUUCACUAUCUUGCAGGAUAUUCACUAUGACCAGGAGAAUGUUCCAAGUUCUCCAGUUCUUUACAAACAAUUAGAAACUGUUCAGUUAACGACGAGAAAGUCCUAGAUUUGACCUCGUUAUACUGAACAUAAUCAAAUAAAAGUCAACAUCAGAACAUGAACUUUAUAUUGAAAUAGAGAUUUGGAAAACAAUGAAAUCAAAGUUGCAACUGAUGAAGAUUGCAGGCUUGUUAAAUGUUGAUGU